GUUGUUGAUACCAUGCUGACAAAUAAAAUUACAUUUAAUUUAACUGCAUAUAGGAAAGUUGUGCAUGAUUAAGCUUUUUUUUUUUUAAAUGUGGUGUAAAUUCUAUAAAGAAAAAAAUAUAUCUAUACAUUUGUCUGUCUGACUCAAAUGUCUUAUUACACUGGCCAUAAAAAAAAAAAUCCUUAAUUCUUUUUCUUGGUUGUCCAUGGAUACUGAGUGGAGAUGCAUCUUCAAAGGGUUCCUCACAUUCAUUUGCAUUUCUUGUGCUAAUAAAAGUGCUAUCAGCACUCCCCGCCCCUUAGCUACUCCCACAGCCCUGCUUUGUCUCGCCCUUUUUUUCACCUCCAGUCACUUGGGAGCAAGAGCCACCGGGAGCCUCACUAAUUGGGCUAGCAACAAAGGACUGAAGCAACCCUAAGGCCUUAGUGCUCCAGAAGUGAGCUGAAAAACACAGCUAUUGAAGGAAGGAGUGAAUGCAGGGAUCUGAGUGUGUGCCAGGAAUGCUUGUCUUGCUCUCUCUGUGGAGUGACACUGACGACUCUCUUCUGACACUCCUCUGGGGUGGCCCUCUCAUCCAUCCAUGCACUUGUCUGCCGUGUUGACAAAGCUUUGCAGGUCUCUCUCCAUCAACACCACCACCUGACAGCGCUGCGUUUUACGCGGCAUGGAAGACUGUUGCGGAGUCGGGUAAUAGGUUUGCUGACACAAACUAUGCGGGUCAAUAAAACUCAAAGAUGUUUCUGGCUCUGGGAAAUGUCUUUCCUGUAAUGUCUGCACCGUGAUGUAGCUCUUUGAGGAAAUGGGGUCUUUAAUAUUGACCUUUGGCUAUACACAGACACCGAACUCUUGUUUUGAAGACAUUAUAAAGUCUAUGACACACUCAAGAAAUUUUCAGAGGUUCACUUUGAAAUAAUCGCAGCAGUCACUACCUCACAUAAAGACAUUUCAUAAGGUUCCUUUUGGAUGUUUUUUUU
ensembl:lncRNA